UCGAGCCUUGUGGAAGAAAUACCUAGAAAAAUUAGAAAGAUGGCUGAAGAUAAGAGAAACGAGAUUCAAGAUCUGUCUAAAUCCAUCACUCCAAGUGAAGAACCUGCUAAAGGAUUAGAAAUUGCUAAAGAUCAAGGACUAGUGGAGAAAGAUGAAGCAGCAAAUGCUCAAGGCGAGGGGUUGACGCACGUAGUUGUAAGAGCAAAAAAGCCAGAACCUCCGGGCAAACGACCUCCUCCAACGACUGGUUGAACUGAAAUAAUAUGAGCCUAAUUGGAAAUUUCAAAGUUUAAGUGUUGUACAUUUGAAGUAAUUAACCAGAUGUAAUUGGUUAAUUGCAUUUUUGAUUUCUUCGUGCGUGUUUGUUCUUGAUCACCCUCGUCCUUUUUUAUUUGUGCUUUGAUUUUUAUCAAAUAUGAUUGGUGAAAGUACAAUUGUGAUGAUAAUGCAGUUCGUGUUUUUCAGGAUGAGA